CCUGGGUCUGGAGCAAAACUGCUGAGGUUUGAGGCCCCGUUUUGCUGCUCACUAGCUACAUGAUCUUGGGCAAGUUAUUUAAGCUCUCUGAGCUUCAGUUUCUUCCUCUGCAGAAUGGGGAUGAAAGUGGACUACUACCUCAUGGCAUGUUUUGAGGAUGAAAUGAGCUAAUAAACACAGUCUUCAGCCCUACAUUAGGAUGGCCUAAGGAAAACAAGAAGACUGAAUGAUAUUCCCUGGUUCUCACUCUGUCAUCCAAGCUAGAGUGCAGUGGGGUAAAACACGGCUCACUGCAGCCUCGAUCUCUUGGCUCAAGCUAUCCUCCUGCCUCAGCCUCCUGUUUAUCUGGGACCACAGCUGACUUAUAUAAGUUAUUAGUCUUCUAGAAGGAUCACAAGGAACCAGCAUCAAAGAAAUGGAAUCCAGCUAAUUCCCCCAAGAAACUGAAGUUUUCGGGACAUGACUUGUGAAAGGCAAACAUAAGCUGACAUCUUUUCACACUGAACAGCAAGAGCCAAAGUGUAUCCGAAAAGCCAUUGUCAAAACAAGGAGUGAGAACAGCUGGGGUCAAGACCUAAUGAAGGGCAUCACUCAGCCUCUUUGAGCCUCGGAUUCCUCAUUUGUAAAGUGGGCAUAAUAAUACCUCACAGGGUAGUUAUGAGGGCAAAUGAGAUAAUGGACACGAAGGCACCUGUACACUCCACGGUGCUAUCAGAAUAUUGACUAUUAGUGCUUUCAUCACGCGGCUCCAUCCAAACCCCUGCUUUCCCUCACUCCAACAGGCUUUUACUCUGUCACCCAUGCUGGAGUGCAGUGGUGCAAUCUUGGCUCACUGAAACCUCUGCCUCCUGGAUUCAAGCGAUCCUCCCACCUCAGCCUCCCGAGUAGCUGGGACUACAGAAAUUAUUCCUUUGCAGGUGGUGCAAAGGAUCAGCACGGGAGUUUUGACCUGCUCCGUUUCCGACCUGGGUCGGUUCACCCCUCCUUAGGCAACCUGGCGGUUCCCCGCUCCAGGGAGGUCACCCUCUUGAUGCUGAAUUUAGCACGGACACCUGAUGGGCACAGUGCACUGCAGCCCAGAGCUCCUGAGCUCAAGCCAUCCUCCUGCCUCAGCCUCCAAGUAGCCAGGACCACAGGCACGCACCCUGAGGAGGAAGAAAUACCAGGUGCGCAUGCUCCAAGAAAAAGCCAUCUGAGGACGCGGCAAGAAGGCCGCCAUCUACAAGCCAAGGAGAGGGGCCUCAGGAGAAAUCGAACCUGUCACACCUUGAUCUUGGACUUCCAGCCUUCAGAACUGUGAGAAAGUAAAUUUCUGUGUUCAAGCUACCAGGUCUGUGGGAUUUUUUAUGGCAGCCCUAGCAGACUAAGACAGGCAUCAAUGGUUCCAAUGUUUUCAUUUUUUUUCCGGUAAGCAGACCGAAGCCCAGAGAGAUGAAGCAAUUUGCCCAAAGUCACAUACCAAGUUAACUGAAGAGUUGGGGUUAGAAUCCAGCUCUUGUGACUUCUCUCUUUUCAGUUUCCCUUCCCACUCCCCCCACUGAAAAGCUUUUGAGUGACUCUUUUAGAAAUCCCGGUUCUGUAUAUGAAGCAGAAUUGAGCACAGCUGCUCUAAUGAAGGGCUCAGAGCUCCCAGGCUUUUCUCUCUCCCCUGCCCCUUUUCCCUGUUGCACCUCUGCAGUGUCCUGAGGGUUGAUGGAAUCUAGUUUGAAAGCUAUUGCUCUACCUCACUGCCUCCUGAAUGCAAUGUCACAAAUUUUCCCAACUUGCCAUUUCUCUCACACUGACAUAAAGCAUUAGAAACCUGUUGUGAAGUAGGAAAGCUAACUGGGUCAGUAGCUGAUAAGAUAAUCUGGCCUAGGGGAUAGAUGAUUAGGAUUUCAGAGAAGGAAAGGUCACCCAAUUGAUUUGACUCUGUCCUGGGGCGAUGAUAUGGUGAAGAUUUCUACAGAUGCAGCAGAAACAUCCGGAAACCAGGUGUGUCCCAGCUCUGGUCUGGGAACCAUUUCAUAAAUUGGCAAAUAUCCAGGAUAUACACAUGGCUAAUUCUGAGGUGUACUGAAGUUUCAAUAAAGCUACUUUGGUAAUGACUAGGAGAAGAAAAUCCUAUGGCUGGACUUCAUUAAUGUUGUAUGGCCAAGGACAGUGUUUCUCUAAUUAUGGCCUGUGAACCUCCCUGGAUCUCGAUCACCUGCAUAUUUGGGAAUAUGCAGGUUCCAGGGUCCCACCUGAAACUACAGAAUCAGUAUUGAGAUCCCAGGUGAUUCUCAUGUACACUCAAGUGUAAGAUUAUUAGCACCUGGACUUUGGAAGCAGCCAGAUAAAAGUUUGGAUCCUGGGUUGGCUACUUCCUAGAUGUGGCCAAGUCAUUUUACUUGCCAUGCUUUUGCUUUUCUUGUCUGUAAAGUGGACAUGAUACCUAUUUUACAGGGUGGUUUUGAGGAAUAAGGUCAGCAUUAAACAUUUAUCCUCUUUAGGGAGACAGAGAGAGGAGAUGAAAUAGAGUAGAAUUGAGAAAAGCAGUUUCUUAGACCUCCCUGUGAAGUUUUUCUUAUUUCAACAAAUAAUAAAAUAAAAAAUUCAUACACUUUCUUAGUGCUUGUUUGGACUUAAGAAUUUAAAAAUAACUUGAGAGUUUUAUAGGCAUCAAGGAUGAUGUCUGAGUGCUGGAAAUACUUGACCUUUGGCUGGAAGGUGGAGUGAAGGUGCCAGCGGACUGAACCCUGGGAGACUGUCUUCUGUUUUAUGAAUGUGGUCAUGCUCUGAGUUAAAUGAUGUCCCUGGUAAGGACAUCUCCCAGAAAAGCUUAGAAAUCAGCUGUAAUCCUUGUUCCCUGCAAGACCCUUGACUUGGAUGUUAAGAGUUCCCUAUAAUGAUAAUAGCUACCUUUACUGAGCACUACUUGUUAGCCAGGCAUUGUGCUAAGUGCUUUAUGUGCAUUAUGUUAUGCAAUCCUGCAAAUACCGUUAC
rnacentral:lncRNA from 1 species